rnacentral:rRNA from 1 species
GUGAGGAAUUUUGCGCAAUGGGGGAAACCCUGACGCAGCAACGCCGCGUGAGUGAUGAAGGCUUUCGGGUCGUAAAGCUCUGUCAAGUGGGAAGAACCUCCAUGAGGAUAAUACCCUCAUGGUUUGACGGUACCACUGAAGGAAGCACCGGCUAACUCCGUGCCAGCAGCCGCGGUAAUACGGGGGGUGCAAGCGUUAUUCGGAUUUACUGGGCGUAAAGCGCGCGUAGGCGGCCGUUUAAGUCAGAUGUGAAAGCCCGGGGCUCAACCCUGGAAGUGCAUUUGAUACUAUUCGGCUUGAGUAUGGGAGAGGGAAGUGGAAUUCCUGGUGUAGAGGUGAAAUUCGUAGAUAUCAGGAGGAACACCGGUGGCGAAGGCGACUUCCUGGACCAAUACUGACGCUGAGGCGCGAAGGCGUGGGGAGCAAACAGGAUUAGAAACCCUAGUAGUCC